GCUGCUGGUGGGCUUGCACGGUCAGCGCGAUUCCUUCCACCUCUGGAUCGAACCUGUGCAUCGGGUUUUUUUUUGUGCCUGGCUCUAUCAAAUGUGUUCCACUCGACGGUUUUCUUCGCACCGGCCGAGCACCCCCAUGUUCUAGAAGCUUCUCCCUUGCGUGAAUGUAGCAAUAGACUCCGGCAGUUGGGAUCUCCUGGCAGCGAAUCAUAACAAAUUUUGUCCCAAAAUCUAAUCUCCGUAGCGAAGCUGUCAUUGUUUGUUGCGAUUAUCCCGGUAGAUUUCGACUCAGACUCGAUUCCAUCCUGCGAUUAUAAAAGUCCAGCCACCAUAGCCAUGCGAGCAGCGCACGUCGGAGAGGGAGCUCGGGUGUCGUCGAGUGCGGAACCAGGGAGCCCCGUCGUCCGGGGGGCUUCACCGCGCCGCGCUGGUCAGGUCCGUGGCUUUGGCCGGGCAGGUUUUCGCCCAGAAUUGCGGAUUGGGCGGACCUUCUGUCACGGAGCUUCUUCUCGUCGCGAGCCGCACCGAUUGUGCCCGGAUUCGUGGUAAGUCUUUGUUUAUCGAGUUCUAGGCUUAGCCCGGAGUCGAUUGUCGACUUUUAGCCGCGGGAUUGGUGCGUCAGGGCACGGAUUUGGUUUGCUCCGGCGAGGUCGCGGCCGUCGAUUUGGGCGGCGCUGCCUCGGGUGGAUGUUGGGGGGAAGAUGGUGGUUGUCCGUUAGAUUACGAUCCAACGGAUAUGAUUGAUCGGGAGCGAAGGGGUGUCCUGAGCCGUUGAUCGAUAGAUGGGCGGCACGGAUUAGAUCUCUGCGUACCCCCUUCGGCCAACACAUUUGCUAAAGCGCCCCUGCUCUAUAUAGUAAUCAACCCGCGGUACAAUCCUGAGUCUUGGAACUAUUUGCAUAGUAGACCCUGUGCUCUAUGGAAUUCACAGCCGCGGUCCAGUCAGUUAUUAAAUAAGAGAAAACAUAAUCAAAAUGAAUUUCUUAUAUAAAAACAAUUCCAGAAUCUUGUUAAAUCCAUAGAAAAUUCAUAUUAAGUCCGAAUUGACCCAUUCUUGUUUCUAUAAUUUUGUAAUAUUAUUGUCUAUCGGCUAGUGUCUCUGGUUUGACAUGAAAACUAUAUUAAAAAUUAAUCUCUCAAUUAAUCUUGUAUCAAAUACAUAAACCUUUGGAAAUUUCUAACGUCCCCAUUUUAACUCCGUUUUGAUCCAUUCUAGUUUCAUUAGUCUCACCAUAAUAUUUAUUAUCAUCUGGUAACUUUGUUUUGUCAUGAGAUAUAGGUUAAAAUGUUGCACUUAGUCUAUUAUAUACUUAACCGUGGAUCUUCUAUAAAUCAUAACUCUUUAACCGUAAUUCCGAAUUUAGUGGUUCUUGUUUCCACGAUCUCGUAGCGACGCGUAGCUUAUUCUUACACAGUUAGUUCUUAUGAUUGAUGUGAUGUUAAUUUUGUCUAUACCAUGUUUGUUUGUAUUGCUACGACUAGCAGUGAGGUUACGAAUCUCGAAGAGCAAGUUGGUACCUAGAAUCUCAAGUCCCAGGCAAGUUGUGCCCUUGAUCACUUCUUUUACCCAGUCAUGUUCUUAUUAAUCAUAAUGAUCUGCAUAGGUUAAUUUUGAUGGGACCCAAUAGGAUACCCUAGAUUUUGACUAUCUUUAUACCUUGCUUCACCACUGGUUUUACUACUAAGUUUUUGGGUAGUACAUGCUAUUGCUUUAUGUGGAUUUGGGUAUAGAGAUAUUCAUCACUCAUUUUUACACUUGUUAUUAUCUGUUCAUUAUUUUAUGUUCAUGAUAAGAUCAUUAUGUUAAUGGGAACAUGGAGAACCACCCAGGAAAACAGUGCUACCACAAGGGUUUAUGGACGCCCUUGGCUGAUUAAUUAGGAAAGCUAGUGGAGGACUACCUUACCCGAAAGGGGCAAGGGCAGUAGGGGAGUGGUCAGUGUAGGGAGGUCCUUGGUUGAUUUUGCUGCGAUGGCGGUCAGGCAAGAACCCUGCACUGGAGCUUCCUAUAAACUGUAGCGGGUUUUCUGAAGCUAGUGGAACUUUGUAAAGGCCUCGUAGUGGUACCCUGCCUCGCUUCCUUGGUAGAGGUGUAUGGAGUCUGAUCAACUCUGUGGCAAAUGGGUAACACGACUUGUGGGUAAAGAUGCGCAACCUCUGCAGAGUGUAAAACUGGUAUACUAGCCGUGCUCACGGUCAUGAGCGGCUCGGACACUCACAUGAUUAAAUUAUGGAACUUAAACUCAAUUUGUCAUAUGCAUUGCAUCGCAGGUGAGGUUGUUACUUUUGUUCUACUACUUAAUUGGGUUGGUAUUUACUUAUACUUAGUAAUUGCUAAUAAAAUUUUGACCAACUUUAAAAGCAAUGCUCAGCUCUAACCAUCCUCUUUGGUAAGCCUUACACUUCACGUGAGCUCCCACCUUUGGCGAGUUCAUGCACAUUAUUCCCCACAACUUGUUAAGCGAUGAACGUAUGUGAGCUCACUCUUGCUGUCUCACACCCCCCCACAGGUCAAGAACAGGUACCAUAGGAUGAGGCGCGUGGAGGAUGCUGCGAUGUGUUCGUGAGAGGUCUAGGUCGUCGUCUCCCAGUCAACUUUGGUUUGCUGGACCGUUGUCUCCUUAUAAUGUAAUUAUUUAUUUUGUACAAAACUCCUAUUAUAUAGUAAAGAUGUGACAUUCGAUCAUGUGC
rnacentral:lncRNA from 1 species